AUCUGCAAUGAGAAGGCAGAACUUCUUAAGGACCAGGCAGUUCUCAACCCGGAACUGACUACUUGUGGUGUUAAAAAAAAAUCAGAAAGAACAAAUAUAAAUGAGCUACAGAGUGAUCCAAGGUGGGGGAACCCCCUCUGCCAACUGGCCUUGGUACGUGGCUGGAUACUUUCUGGACAGACCUCAUACACUGCAGAUGGAAGUGAUGCCAAGUGACACCAGAGAUUUGGUCAUCAGCUCCUGGCCAGCUCGCUCUCUCUCAGAACACAUCCCUUUGCAGCCCUGAGCCUCCAGGUGAGAAAAAUGAGGUGGCAGACACAGGACUGGAUUCUGGACGAGGUCCCUGAGCACUCACAGGGGAGGGAGCUUGGAGGAGGGCCGCAUUGUGGAUGAGUGGGGAAACCAACAGUCGAAGCAGCACGAUCCAAUGGAACUUUCAACAGGGAUGGAAAUGCUGUCUCUUCAAUAUAGUAACCACGGGCCUCAGGUGGUGACUGAGCACUUGAAAUACAGUAAGUGCAUAUUCCAGAGAGUGGGGAUAGUGGCUGUCACGUUACAGUGUCCCUUCACACACAGCCAGUGCCCCCGGCACAUAGUAACUGCUCAGUAAGAAUCCAUUUUCAGUUUAAGCAAUCCAUCUAUCAAUAAUCUAUAUGCAUCCCAAGAUAACAACCUGUCUUCUCUUAGGAAAACAGGGAAUCCUUCACAGAUGUAACCUCCUGGCGCUGUGAUGGUCUGGCGCUGGGUGCACUGUCUAUUGCAACAGCUACUAGCCAUGUGGGAUUAUUUAUAUUGAAACUAAUUAAGAGGAAAUACAAUUUAGUUCCUCAAGGAUGUUGGCCACAUAUCAAGUGCUUAAUGGCCCUAUGUGACUAGCAGUGACCAUGUCGGACAUCCCUCUUACUGGAGUCAGCUGCACUGGACAGCGCCAGUCUAAGGACUGAUACCACAGAAACACAGGGCAACACGGUUGGUCUUUGAAGAGAAAGGUCCAAGGGCACAUUAAGAGGGCUGAUGGAGGUGUGUAUGUUACGUGACCACUACGGUUCAUACCCAGAAUGUGAGGAAGUCUCUAAAGCUGAGGCUUCAACCACUUACCAAAUCCCAUAAUGUGUGACUUUGCCAAGAGCUCAGUGACAUUUUAAAAGUCCUCUUUUCAACCUGUUAUGUAUCGACCUAACUUGGUAAAGUGUCUGAAUAAAAAUACCCACCACUCAAGACCUGCUACAAGGCAGUGCUAAAUGUUGCAGCAAGAACAGACUGUUUUGAUUAUUGUUUUGGAUCACUUCAGACUUACCACAU